UACCGAGGUCUCAAGCGUUGUUCGGAUUCAUUGGGCGUAAAGGGUGCGUAGGUGGCGGGGUAAGUCAGGUGUGAAAUCUCGGAGCUCAACUCCGAAACUGCACUGGAUACUGCCUUGCUCGAGUACUGGAGAGGAGAUUGGAAUUUACGGUGCAGCAGUGAAAUGCGUAGAUAUCGUAAGGAAGACCAGUGGCGAAGGCGAAUCUCUGGACAGUUACUGACACUGAGGUACGAAGGCCAGGGGAGCAAACAGG
rnacentral:rRNA from 1 species